CAUACACCAGAUGAAAAGAGGAAAACCCCAGAUCUAAGAGCCUUAAAAUGGAAGUAAAAGUGAAACACCACUUCUUUGCAUAGCUUAUUUCCCCCUAAUUACCAAAACAGCUUACACAGUCAGCCCCACUUUGGGCACUGUCUUCGAUGUCUCUAGGAGGGAUUACUCAAGAUGCAAAGAAGGCUUGACCUCGGGUAGACCUCUGUUGUCAGGCAUGAGAACCAAUCUUGCAUCAAUGUAUCUGUAUAGCUCCUUACAGACUGGGACUGCCCGGAGGGAAGGAAUAAAAAAGUGUUCAAGUUAUCUUUUCAGCACAAAGAGCACAGGCAUCCAAAGUUCCUCAUAGUUUUACUGGAUCACAGGAGAGGGCUAAAGUGAAUGCCCCACUAUUGGUAGAUAGGAGGCUGCGGGCUCUCUUUUUGCCAGCCGGUGAGCCCCCAUCUACACCGCUGCGGGACCUUGGAGAUCCCUCACCUCAAGCUCCCUCAUCUACCAUCUGCCAAUUGGCCAUAUUUCCCAGAAGCUUCUCGGUGAAAUCUAAUGAGACAAUGGGUCAUGUGCGUGAGCAGAGGCGGUAUGUGUCUGUCUGCUGUUCCUUACCAGUCACUUGCAUAUAGCAUUUGUGAUGACCCAUGAACACAGAAUUCCAGCAGACCCCCGUGUGUGGGAGUUCAGCAAGGCUCCAAAUAAGAAUACCCCAUGAAUGGGGUUGUGAUGAAGUUCAUUUCAGAAGAUGCCCUACAAGCGCCUGGGUGGCUCAGUUGGUUAAGCGACUGCCUUCAGCUCAGGUCAUGAUCCCAGGGUCCUGGGAUCGAGUCCCGCAUCAGGCUCCCUGCUCUGCGGGGAGCCUGCUUCUCCCUCUCCCACUCCCCCUGCUUGUGUUCCCUCUCUCGCUGUGUCUCUCUC